rnacentral:rRNA from 1 species
GACGAACGCUGGCGGCGUGCUUAACACAUGCAAGUCGAACGGAAAGGCCCUUCGGGGUACUCGAGUGGCGAACGGGUGAGUAACACGUGGGUGAUCUGCCCUGCACUUUGGGAUAAGCCUGGGAAACUGGGUCUAAUACCGAAUAGGACCACGCGCUUCAUGGUGUGUGGUGGAAAGCUUUUGCGGUGUGGGAUGGGCCCGCGGCCUAUCAGCUUGUUGGUGGGGUAAUGGCCUACCAAGGCGACGACGGGUAGCCGGCCUGAGAGGGUGACCGGCCACACUGGGACUGAGAUACGGCCCAGACUCCUACGGGAGGCAGCAGUGGGGAAUAUUGCACAAUGGGCGCAAGCCUGAUGCAGCGACGCCGCGUGAGGGAUGACGGCCUUCGGGUUGUAAACCUCUUUCAAUAGGGACGAAGCGCAAGUGACGGUACCUAUAGAAGAAGCACCGGCCAACUACGUGCCAGCAGCCGCGGUAAUACGUAGGGUGCGAGCGUUGUCCGGAAUUACUGGGCGUAAAGAGCUCGUAGGUGGUUUGUCGCGUUGUUCGUGAAAACUCACAGCUUAACUGUGGGCGUGCGGGCGAUACGGGCAGACUAGAGUACUGCAGGGGAGACUGGAAUUCCUGGUGUAGCGGUGGAAUGCGCAGAUAUCAGGAGGAACACCGGUGGCGAAGGCGGGUCUCUGGGCAGUAACUGACGCUGAGGAGCGAAAGCGUGGGGAGCGAACAGGAUUAGAUACCCUGGUAGUCCACGCCGUAAACGGUGGGUACUAGGUGUGGGUUCCUUCCUUGGGAUCCGUGCCGUAGCUAACGCAUUAAGUACCCCGCCUGGGGAGUACGGCCGCAAGGCUAAAACUCAAAGGAAUUGACGGGGGCCCGCACAAGCGGCGGAGCAUGUGGAUUAAUUCGAUGCAACGCGAAGAACCUUACCUGGGUUUGACAUGCACAGGACGCCGGCAGAGAUGUCGGUUCCCUUGUGGCCUGUGUGCAGGUGGUGCAUGGCUGUCGUCAGCUCGUGUCGUGAGAUGUUGGGUUAAGUCCCGCAACGAGCGCAACCCUUGUCCUAUGUUGCCAGCGGGUUAUGCCGGGGACUCGUAGGAGACUGCCGGGGUCAACUCGGAGGAAGGUGGGGAUGACGUCAAGUCAUCAUGCCCCUUAUGUCCAGGGCUUCACACAUGCUACAAUGGCCGGUACGAAGGGCUGCGAUGCCGUGAGGUGGAGCGAAUCCUUUCAAAGCCGGUCUCAGUUCGGAUCGGGAUCUGCAACUCGACCCCGUGAAGUCGGAGUCGCUAGUAAUCGCAGAUCAGCAACGCUGCGGUGAAUACGUUCCCGGGCAU